UCUGUUGGUAUUCAAAUAUAUUCAACGAGAAUAAUUGAUAAGAACGCUUGUCGGUAAUCACUAAGCGCAAAAUUAUUUACAAGCUUUUUGACUACUCAAAUGUCUAAAAUUUUCUAAGCAAAUAUUUGUGUAUUACAAGCAUUUACUAAUAUUGUCUUUAGAUAAACAAGCUAUUAUUUAAAAAAAAAAAAAAAAACAAUUCAGUUCGAUAUUAGGGUAUUAGCGCUGCUAACACCCGUGGGGCUUCACGUUGAGCAUUUGCCAGCGAUCGUCGAUCGCAGACGCCACAGCCAAUGAUAUAGUUGAGCUUAUUUCAUGCGCGCUAGCAAGCAAUGUAACAGUGUGUAUGUGACCAUCAAUCGUUUGCUGCUGCGUUCGAAAACUAAAUUUUAAGAAAAAAGGUAAGUAACUGCAGCCUGACACACGAUAGACGCGAGCGCCGUGCUGACAGGAAAGAACAUCUAAUAAAAUAAUCCAACAAGAGAGAGCAAAACUCAAAAAACUUGGUGGACCCUCGUUGAGACGCUAUAUUAGACGGGAAGCGUGGCCUAUCAACUUCCGUUUGCAGCCAGUGUCAAUAUUACUUGCCGCAAAACCAUACAGAAUAUUUGAAUAUACAAUAUUAUAAUUUUAGCGUAAUCUAU